rnacentral:rRNA from 1 species
GAUGAACGCUGGCGGCGUGCCUAAGACAUGCAAGUCGAACGAUAUUGCAAAGGUGCUUGCACCUUUGCUUGAAAGUGGCGAACGGGUGAGUAACACAUGAAUAACCUGCCUCAAACACUGGAAUACCUUCUGGAAACAGAAGCUAAUACCGGAUAAGCUCACAGUAUGGCAUCAUACAGGGAGAAAAGAUUUAUCGGUUUGAGAGGGAUUCGUGUUCAAUUAGCUAGUAGGUAGGAUAAUAGCCUACCUAGGCUACGAUUGAUAGCCGAGAUGAGAGUCUGAUCGGCCACAUUGGGACUGAGACACGGCCCAAACUCCUACGGGAGGCAGCAGUCGGGAAUAUUGCACAAUGGGCGCAAGCCUGAUGCAGCAACGCCGCGUGAAGGAAGAAGGCUUUCGAGUUGUAAACUUCUUUAAUCUAGGAAGAAUUUUGACGGUACUAGAAGAAUAAGCUCCGGCUAAAUACGUGCCAGCAGCCGCGGUAAUACGUAUGGAGCAAGCGUUAUCCGGAAUUACUGGGUGUAAAGGGUGAGUAGGCGGCUAUUUAAGUCAUAAGUGAAAGCCUGGGGCUCAACCCCAGCGAGCUUAAGAAACUAUUUAGCUAGAGUACAGGAGAGGCAAGCGGAAUUCCUAGUGUAGCGGUGGAAUGCGUAGAUAUUAGGAGGAACACCAGUGGCGAAGGCGGCUUGCUGGACUGUAACUGACGCUGAGUCACGAAAGCUUGGGGAGCAAACAGGAUUAGAUACCCUGGUAGUCCAAGCUGUAAACGAUGAGUGCUAGGUGUUGGAGGGAAACCUUCGGUGCCGUAGCUAACGCUUUAAGCACUCCACCUGGGGAGUACGCACGCAAGUGUGAAACUCAAAGGAAUUGACGGGUGCCCGCACAAGCGGUGGAGCAUGUGGUUUAAUUCGACGCAACGCGAAAAACCUUACCAAGGCUUGACAUGGAGCUGAUAGAUAUAGAGAUAUAUCCUCCCUUCGGGGCAGCUCACACAGGUGGUGCAUGGUUGUCGUCAGCUCGUGUCGUGAGAUGUUGGGUUAAGUCCCGCAACGAGCGCAACCCUUAUCUUUAGUAGCUAACAGAUUAUGCUGAGCACUCUAGAGAGACUGCCGUGGACAACACGGAGGAAGGUGGGGAUGACGUCAAAUCAUCAUGCCCUUUAUGCCUUGGGCAACACACGUGCUACAAUGGCUCAUACAAAGUGAAGCGACUGGGCGACCACAAGCAAAGCACAAAAAAUGAGUCUCAGUUCGGAUUGUAGUCUGCAACUCGACUAUAUGAAGUUGGAAUCGCUAGUAAUCGCAAAUCAGCAUGUUGCGGUGAAUACGUUCCCGGGCAUUGUACACACCGCCCGUCACACCAUGGGAGUUGGAUGUGCCCAACGUCCGUUAUCUAACCUGCAAAGGAGGAUGCGGCCUAAGGCAAAGCUAGCGACUGGGGUG